CUGGCAGCAACCUGACACCUGUCAGGACCCAGCUGGAUGUUAUCCACCAUGGCUCUGAAGGUUUAAUCAGGGUGCUGAGAGAACCGCCACUUCUCCUGUCUGCUCUCCUGACUGUGAGCUUCACUUGGGCAGUGGCUGUGUGGGAUUCUUCUGUUCUUGGCACAUGGUGUGUUGUCUGGCACAUAAACAGCAGUUGAUAAAUAUUUGCUGAAUGAACAACUGUACUCCUCCACUCCAAGAGAGUGACAGAGUAAAGUCUCCCCACCCCGUUCCGUCCCCCACUAAAUCAGGGAGCCCUCCGGAAUUGGGAGAAUUGGACAGAAUGCCAAGGUUUGAAGGAUAAACACCAGCCUCCCAUCGGCAGCUUGACUAUCAUCCUGGCUUUAUCUGGCCAGUGAGAAUGAAAGGGGCUUUGUUACCAAGUGGACCAUUCCCAAACCGGCACGGUUCCCACUGUAAAGCCAGAAGGGGCUUUAGUGUCUUUUCAAGUUCUUUUCUAAACUCUCUUGAAUUUCAAGUCCCAGAGUCUGCUUUUCUUAUUGGAAAAUCUCCUGGUAUGAAGAGAUGGGGGGCAGGGAGCAAGAAACUCUAAGAGACACAUUCCCUGGAGGGCAGAGGAAACUGGAACUGUCUGCUGAAAUUAAUGGCUUUCUGCCUCAAAGGAACUGGAAGGAGGGCCUCCCAGGUGACCAAGGAAUCCACGGUCUCCCAGGUAAACUGUAAGAGCAUGGAGGUAUGAACACAUCACGCAAGGCUAUGGGUGAGUCGAGAUGGGAUUUGUGACUGGAGAGAGCCUCCGGGCCAGGCUGUGGUAAACACCAUCCAGGAUCCAAAACAAGAUGUGAGGAGAAGCGCAUUUCCUCUGGAGUCAUCUUCUGCCUCAUCCAAAACACUUUGCGUUUGAAAAAACACACACUCACUCUCUCUCUCUGAAGAGACCAGCCAAGAUCUGACCCCAGCCAAGAUCCAAAAAGGAGAGUGAGGGAAUAAAUGGGAUGAUUUGGACACAGAUGUUUGAAUAGAUUUCUCCUUAGGAGAGUUGAAUGGCUUAGGGAGACGGCAGAUAGAAACAUGCGCACAUAUACACAUCACUACCAAGGAUAAAGUCGGGUUGGUGCUAAUUUCUCCUUGUAUUGCAUUUCUUAAUCUUUGCUCUCGAAUGGGUCUUCCAG
rnacentral:lncRNA from 1 species